rnacentral:rRNA from 1 species
UACGUAGGUGGCAAGCGUUGUCCGGAUUUACUGGGUGUAAAGGGCGCGUAGGCGGGAUGUCAAGUCAGAUGUGAAAUCUAUGGGCUCAACCCAUAAACUGCGUUUGGAACUGACGUUCUUCAGUAUCGGAGAGGCAAGCGGAAUUCCUAGUGUAGCGGUGAAAUGCGUAGAUAUUAGGAGGAACACCAGUGGCGAAGGCGGCUUGCUGGACGACAACUGACGCUGAGGCGCGAAAGCGUGGGGAGCAAAC